rfam:Arabis alpina cultivar Pajares chromosome 1, whole genome shotgun sequence.
GAAAAAGAGAUGUAUCAGAAUAGCCAAGGAAACUGCCCAACGAACUACAAUCGCAAUGUGAAAUCAAACUCAACCUAGAGAGAUGGAUUGAUAAACAUUGCGUAUAUAUGUAGAUGCAGGCAAGUCAUCCUUGGCUACCAAAUAAAUCUUUAAUC